rnacentral:lncRNA from 10 species
GCCUCCCAAAGUGCUGGGAUUACAGGCGUGAGCCAUGGCGCCCGGCCAAGUUUUAAAAAAAUAGAACAGAGGCUGGGCACAGCGGCUCACGCCUGUAAUCCCAGCACUUUGGGAGGCUGAGGCAAGUGGAUCACCUGAAAUCAGGAGUUCGAGACCAGCCUGGGCAACAUGGUGAAACCCUGUCUCCACUAAAAAUACAAAAAUUAGCUGGGCAUGGUGGUGCAUGCCUGUAGUCCCAGCUACUCAGGAGGCUGAGGCACCAGCAUUGCUUGAACCCGGGAUGUGGAGGUUGCAGUGAGCCAAGAUCGCACCAUUGCACUCCAGCCUGGGCAACAGAGUGAGACUCUGGUUCAAAAUAAACAAGUUAAUUAAAUUAAAUUAAAUUAAAAAAUAGAACAGAAAGACAGUGUCAGGCUGCACUCCCUGUAGUAAGGGCGGGUGUUGCUUCCCCAGGCUUUGGUUCCAUUCCUAGGUGUGAAUGUGUGUGAAGUCAAGAUGUCAGAUGCAUUUCUUACUGUAGGUUCCAGUCAACACAACUAGAAAGCUGCUGCCCUGGAUCACGUGAAGUUGAUGGCAAAGAAAGGGUGGAGCAGAUGGUUAGAGAACAAGGCCAAGGUCAGAUUCCACUCCUAGAAAGUCUGACUUGCAAGAACUCAGGUUCCAAGGAGGGCUGAGAGGUGGCCAGGUGGGAAUACCUGGGGAAAAGGAGCUGGGAGUCUCUGGCCUUGUGCCCUCCAUCCCCAGGUUGUGACCGAUGGGCUGGAGAAUGACUUAGAGGGUCAGGGAAACUAAGAAGAAUAAAAAUAAGAUACAGUGUUGUGCUGCCGAAAAAUGUAAGAUAGGAGGGGAGAGACAGGGGAAGGGGGACUACAGAACUAGGAAGGCCUCCUUGAGGUCAGGACACUGGAGCUGAGCACGGACCUGGAUGAACUGACGGAGGAGAAGCCGCGUGGGUCUCGAAGGCCAGAGCAUCGCAGGCUUUGGGAAGAAAUGGUGCAAAGGCCCUGGGCAGUGGUGGCAUGCUGGAGGCAGGGAGGCCCAAGUUGGGUGCAGAUAGCAAGGAGGAUGCGGGAGGGGGCAGCUGAGGAUUUGGAUUUGACCAAAAGAGCACUGAAAAGCAGAGGGAAGGUUCCAGGCUGAGCCGGGGAGUGGCGGGACUGUGAUUCACAUGUGAAAAAGCCUGCAAUAGACACCCGUACAUUUCCUUGCUCAGUCAAAUGGAAAGACCUAGAAGCAACAACACCCCAGGAGCAAGGAGAAUGCACCAGCACACCAGCAUCUUGAUUUUCGUUUCUUUUUUUUUUUCUUUUUUUGAGACAGAGUUUUGCUCUUGUUGCCCAGGCUGGAGUACAAUGGCACAGUCUCGGCUCACUACAACUUCCGCCUCCCUGGUCAAGCGAUUCUCCUGCCUCGGCCUCCCAAGUAGCUGGGAUUACAGGCGCCCACCACCACGCCUAGCUAAUUUUUGUAUUUUUAGGAGAGAUGAGGUUUUACCAUGUUGGUCAGGCUGGUCUUGAACUCCUGACCUCAGGUGAUCCACCUGCCUUGGCCUCCCAAAGUGCUGGGAUUACAGGUGUGAGCCACCGUGCCUGGCUUGGAUCUUGGUUUCUGAUACCAUUUUCCUCCACAAAAGGAACCAGGGCUCCCUGGGGAAACUGGCAAUUCUAGGAUGAGGGCAAGAAACGGACAGAUGAAACUGGAGCAUCUUAAAGUUCCAGAAAGAAAAGAAGUGCUUCCAAACAAAACACCACAAUGAUGGGUGCAUAUCUCGGGGGUCACAGCGAUGAACUGAAAAAGCUUCCAGUGGCCAAAGCUAGAACAACUUGAGCAAUGAAAGAAAGAAAGAAAGGAGGUCGGGCACGGUGGCUCCCACCUGUAAUCCUAGCACUUUGGGAGGAUGAGGCAGGAGGAUUGUCUACACUGAGGAGUUCAAGACUAGCCUAGGAAACAUAGUGAGCCCUCGUCUCCACUAAAAAUAAAAACAAAUUCAAAAAAAUUAGCCAAGCAUACUGGUGGGUGCCUGUAAUCCCAGCUACUCGGGAGGCUGAGGCACAAGAAUCGCUUGAACCCGGGAGGCAGAGGUUGCAGUGAGCCACGAUCGCGCCACUGCACUCCAGCCUGGAUGACAGAGCGAGCCUCUGUCUCAAAGAAACAACAAACAAACAAACAAAAACCCUGAAGAUAACGGUUGAGGUUGAGGGGCAGGCAGAGGCAGAGCCCCAGAAGAGGGAGGCGCAAAACUCCAGAAAGCGAGGCCUUAUUCUCCCAGCCCUGCCCUGGAAAUUCUGUCCUUGGGGCCGGGGUGGGGGGCUCAGCCUCCCCUUCUGGGGGCCCUGAAAUGCAGCCCUGCCCCCAACCCUUCAGUCUGUUUCUUCUGUAAAAAUGAGGUUAGUUACUCCAACUUCAGAGAAGUUGUGAGGCUAAAAAUAGACGUUUUAGCAAAAGUGGUUUAGAGACGAGUAAAAGCUUUGCAAAUAGGUUACCCUCUCGGGGGUGCUCAGCAGGAUGGAGCUGGGCCCUGCCCCAUCCACCACUACCUAGGGUGCUCCUGCUCCAAAAGCCUCUAUCUCUCUAGAUAAAUACCCACUCUCGGUAGUUAGCCCUCUAUCUUGAAAAGCACCUAGUGUGAGGAGUAACCCCACGUGAAUCCCCAAAAUCCUCUAUGAGAAGGAAUAGAGAUGGUUACUUUUUCCCAGGACAGAAAGACAAGGAUGAAAAAGUGUACAUGCAGGAGAGGGAGAAGGUUUAGGAUUAGAAGAAACCAUUUCCCACAUGUAGUGAGUUGAAUGGUGGCCUCUAAAAAGAUACGUCCAAAUCCUAAUCCCAGGCCGGAGGCGAUGGCUCACGCGUGUAAUCCCGACAUUUUGGGAGGACAAGGUGGGCAGAUGGCUUGAGCCCAGGAGUUUGAGACCAGCCUGGGCAACAUGGCAAAAUCCCAUCUCCACAAAAACUAGCAGGGCAUGGUGGUGGGCACCUGUAGUCCCAGCUCCUCCUGAGGCUGAGGCGGGAGGAUCACUUGAGCCCAGAAAGCAGAGGGUGCAGUGAGCCGAGAUCACACCAAGGCACUCCAGCCUGGGCGACAGAGCAAGACUCUGUC